UGUCAUAGCGACUUUUGGGAUAGUUUGCUAUCGACAAAGGGAGACAAAGUCAAGGGGUGAAGGGAAAGGAGGGCCAAGUAGAGCCUCCACGACCCUCGGCUUCCUCCUCACCAGCUCCGCCUCCCUCCAAGUCCAGUAAGAAGUUGGGCCAAGCUGGAAGGGAUUGACCAGGUUGCUUGUCUGGAGAUGGAGCCACUACGGGCAGGGCCUGGGCGCCUGGAGUCGGGCAUGAAAGAAAAUAGCGCCUCAUCGCUCUUAUCUAAGCCCAGAGGUCGACUUCGCUUGAAAAGAUCGAGAAUGGAGGAGGGGAUCGGCACUCACUUGCAGACAUCAACAGUUUCCAGAAAAUUCGGUUCAAUUCCUUCACCACGGACCCACCAACCAAGGAGCUGGCAAAACCCACUAACCAACCAGGAGAACACAGACCCGGUUUGUCUUUUGACAACCGAGUGGAACUGACGGGGCCGGCGCCUGCCCUGCGGGUCCCCUCCCUUGGCUGAGAAGAAAACCAAAUAAACCUUGAACAGCCUUGGCUUCG